GACGAACGCUGGCGGCGUGCUUAACACAUGCAAGUCGAACGGAAAGGCCCUGCUUUUGUGGGGUGCUCGAGUGGCGAACGGGUGAGUAACACGUGAGUAACCUGCCCUUGACUUUUGGAUAACUUCAGGAAACUGGGGCUAAUACCGGAUAGGAGCUCCUGCUGCAUGGUGUGGGUUGGAGAGUUUCGGCGGUUGGGGAUGGACUCGCGGCUUAUCAGCUUGUUGGUGGGGUAGUGGCUUACCAAGGCUUUGACGGGUAGCCGGCCUGAGAGGGUGACCGGCCACAUUGGGACUGAGAUACGGCCCAGACUCCUACGGGAGGCAGCAGUGGGGAAUAUUGCACAAUGGGCGGAAGCCUGAUGCAGCAACGCCGCGUGCGGGAUGACGGCCUUCGGGUUGUAAACCGCUUUCGCCUGUGACGAAGCGUGAGUGACGGUAAUGGGUAAAGAAGCACCGGCUAACUACGUG
rnacentral:rRNA from 1 species